rnacentral:rRNA from 1 species
GAUUAUUGAAAGGUGCUUGCAUCUUGAUUUAAUUUUGAACGAGUGGCGGACGGGUGAGUAACACGUGGGUAACCUGCCCUUAAGCGGGGGAUAACAUUUGGAAACAGAUGCUAAUACCGCAUAAAUCCAAGAACCGCAUGGUUCUUGGCUGAAAGAUGGCGUAAGCUAUCGCUUUUGGAUGGACCCGCGGCGUAUUAGCUAGUUGGUGAGGUAACGGCUCACCAAGGCAAUGAUACGUAGCCGAACUGAGAGGUUGAUCGGCCACAUUGGGACUGAGACACGGCCCAAACUCCUACGGGAGGCAGCAGUAGGGAAUCUUCCACAAUGGACGCAAGUCUGAUGGAGCAACGCCGCGUGAGUGAAGAAGGCUUUCGGGUCGUAAAACUCUGUUGUUGGAGAAGAAUGGUCGGCAGAGUAACUGUUGUCGGCGUGACGGUAUCCAACCAGAAAGCCACGGCUAACUACGUGCCAGCAGCCGCGGUAAUACGUAGGUGGCAAGCGUUAUCCGGAUUUAUUGGGCGUAAAGCGAGCGCAGGCGGUUUUUUAAGUCUGAUGUGAAAGCCCUCGGCUUAACCGAGGAAGUGCAUCGGAAACUGGGAAACUUGAGUGCAGAAGAGGACAGUGGAACUCCAUGUGUAGCGGUGAAAUGCGUAGAUAUAUGGAAGAACACCAGUGGCGAAGGCGGCU